AUACGGAGGGUGCAAGCGUUAAUCGGAAUUACUGGGCGUAAAGCGCUCGUAGGCGGCUUGUAAAGUCGGAUGUGAAAUCCCCGGGCUUAACCUGGGACGGUCAUUCAAUACUGCCUGUCUAGAGUACAGUAGAGGAAAGUGGAAUUUCCGGUGUAGCGGUGAAAUGCGUAGAUAUCGGAAGGAACACCUGUGGCGAAGGCGGCUAGCUGGGCCGGUUCUGACACUAAACUGCGAAAGCGUGGGGAGCAAACAGGAUUAGAAACCCCAGUAGUCC
rnacentral:rRNA from 1 species